rnacentral:rRNA from 1 species
GAUGAACGCUGGCGGCGUGCCUAACACAUGCAAGUCGAACGGAGAUUACGGACGGAAGUUUUCGGAUGGAAGACUGUAAUUCUUAGUGGCGGACGGGUGAGUAACGCGUGGGCAACCUGCCCUAUACAGGGGGAUAGCAGCUGGAAACGGCUGGUAAGACCGCAUAAGUCGGCGAGACCGCAUGGUUUUGCCGGGAAAUGAGCAAUCAGGUAUAGGAUGGGCCCGCGUCCGAUUAGCCAGUUGGCAGGGUAAAAGCCUACCAAAGCAACGAUCGGUAGCUGGACUGAGAGGUCGGACGGCCACAUUGGGACUGAGACACGGCCCAAACUCCUACGGGAGGCAGCAGUGGGGGAUAUUGCACAAUGGAGGAAACUCUGAUGCAGCGACGCCGCGUGAGUGAAGAAGUAUUUCGGUAUGUAAAGCUCUAUCAGCAGGGAAGAUGAUGACGGUACCUGACUAAGAAGCCCCGGCUAACUACGUG